rnacentral:pre_miRNA from 1 species
GAAGUACUCCCUCCGUCCGGAAAUACUUGUCCUAGAAAUGGUUGUAUCUAGACUUAUUUUAGUUAUAAAUGCAUUCAUUUUAUCCAUUUCUAGGACAAGUAUUUUCGGACAGAGGGAGUAUUAA